rnacentral:RNase_P_RNA from 2 species
AGAGCAGGACAGAUGACCGCUGCUUCGCCAUUGAGCGGAGGGGAGGAAAGUCCGGGCUCCACAGGACAGGAUGCUGGAUAACGUCCAGUCCCGGCGACGGGAAGGAAAGUGCAACAGAAAGGAUACCGCCUGAUAGGAAGGGCACAGACCUUUCCACCAGGUAAGGGUGAAAUGGUGAGGUAAGAGCUUACCAGUCCCACCGGUGACGAUGGGAGCUAUGCAAACCCCUUCCGGAGCAAGACCAAAUAAGGGGAGUUUGAGGGUGGUCCGCCUGAAUCCCCGGGUAGGUCGCUCGAUCUUGAUGGCAACAUCAAGGCUAGAUGAAUGGUCAUCGUUCCGAACCGUGCCUAGCAUUGCUUCGGGAAACAGAACCCGGCUUAUGGCCUGCUCUAACA